rnacentral:rRNA from 1 species
UACGUAGGGGGCAAGCGUUGUCCGGAUUCAUUGGGCGUAAAGGGCGCGUAGGUGGCCUAUUAAGUCGGGUGUGAAAACUCUGGGCUCAACCCAGAGCCUGCAUUCGAUACUGAUGGGCUAGAGUUCUGGAGGGGAAAGCGGAAUUCCUGGUGUAGCGGUGAAAUGCGUAGAUAUCAGGAGGAACACCGGUGGCGAAGGCGGCAUUCUGGACCGAUAUUGACGCUGAGGAGCGAAAGCCAGGGGAGCAAACGGG